UCGUAACAAGGUUUCCGUAGGUGAACCUGCGGAAGGAUCAUUAACCUUUCAAAACAGGGUGCGUCGCGGCCCCCGAGGUGCGGAAACAAGCCUCGAGCGGUUUGGGGUCCUCCCCUUCACGCGCGCACGACUGCCAUCCUUACUUUACGAGCACCUUCUGUUCUCCCUCGGCGGGGCAACCUGCCGUUGGAACCGAAUAAACUCUUUUUGCAUCUAGCAUUACCUGUUCCGAAACAAACAAUCGUUACAACUUUCAACAAUGGAUCUCUUGGCUCUGGCAUCGAUGAAGAACGCAGCGAAAUGCGAUAAGUAGUGUGAAUUGCAGAAUUCAGUGAAUCAUCGAAUCUUUGAACGCACAUUGCGCCCCUCGGUAUUCCGUGGGGCAUGCCUGUUCGAGCGUCAUCUACACCCUCAAGCUCUGCUUGGUGUUGGGCGUCUGUCCCGCCUCCGCGCGUGGACUCGCCCCAAAUUCAUUGGCAGCGGUCCUUGCCUCCUCUCGCGCAGCACAUUGCGCUUCUUGAGGGGCUCCGGUUCGCGUCCAACAAGCACAUUUACCGUCUUUGACCUCGGAUCAGGUAGGGAUACCCGCUGAACCUAAGCAUAUCA
rnacentral:misc_RNA from 1 species